CCGGGAUAAAAAAAUCCACGCGACCACAGGGAGAACAUGCAAACUCCAAAUAUAUAGGCGUCAGGGUCGGGAUCGAACUCCACGACCUCCUGUAUACCAGACGAGGUAGUUAACAUCUCGCCAGCGUCUAACAAAGAACAUGCCGAUGGAUAUUUCGUUGUGCACAAGCACAAUUAACAAAGAUACGCAACACACUUGUCAACAAUACUUCCUUAAAAACACUAAAUCUAUAGAGUGGUCCAAAAGUCAGGACACAGGGUUAUUUCAUUUAUUUUAACACUGGCAAUCAAACAUUGUCAUUGUUUCUUCAUUCUAUUAUUAUUAUCAUCUAUUGUUCUUCUUCCUGUGGGGUCACUUCAAAUCCGUCGUUUACAAAAUAUACCCAAAAACCCCAGAAUUAAUUGAAACAAAAAGGAUUGAUCAAUGUUCGAAGAUAAUCUUUUUGAAAAAGUCCGAAAUACAUUUCAAACGAUAAUUCAUGCACUCAUUAAUCUUAAUGGAAGUCAGUUUGAACAUUCGUUAAAAAAAUAACCCGAUAUUUGUUAAAAUAAAUACAAUGACACUGUGUCCUGACAUUAGGGCCACAUAUACCGUACCAAAUUACAUUCCCGCAUCACCUGCAUGAUAAUGACUUGUAUUGUACUCCCCUCAUGUCAGUCCACUGCUGGAUGAGGGGCUCCCCAUGCCAUACAGGCUGUGGGGACUAUUUUGACCGUACGUCACCACACUGAUCACUACAGUAUAGGUUGGUAAAGGCAGGGAGCAUACAUGAGUACAGUAUAACAAUGGAUAUUUACGCACUACACCUUGGCUUCUCAGCACUAUCCAGGCCCAAACUUUGCUUGGCUUCUGAAAACUGACGAGAUUGGGGUGCAUUCUGGGAGAUUCGGUCACAGUCGUAAGUUAUUUUAAUUACUGAAAUUAAAACACUUAAUUGUUCAGUGUGGUGCAGUAAUGAACAAAUACACGGUGUACAAUCUCCGCAAAUAAAUCAUGGGAGGAGAUAUUUGUUUACAUAAAACAUAUAUAACUGCCAAGUUGAAACUUUUUUUAAGUAUUCGUUGAAAUUUUACAUUUUUAAUAAGAGGCCUUUUUUGUACUAUUCGUUAAAGGUACAUGUUACUUUGUUAUGUUUACAUUCGCCUUAAAAAAAUAAUUGUAGAACAUGAUAUACGUAUAGGCUACGGACUGUAUCAUCAUUCCCAACGUUUGCUAAACCAAUGCAGUUUUGUACGAGGGCUAUGUAAUCUCUUACCAUUGAAACAGCUGUCAUUUUAGUGUUAAUACAAAAUAAAUCAUUACUACACAACGGCCUUUUGUGUUGCCUCUAAAGUGCACUUUGGUGAGAAAACACUGAAAACACACACACAUUUUUCAAGACCACGGUAUGUUCAAUGGAGGGGAGCCCGUGUUUGACUAGCUGUGUUUAUUCUGUAAGUGUAUGUAGGCAAAGUCAGCCUAAAGCCUACUUAGAAUUUUAAUAAAUCACAUUCUCCAGGUUUUGUGAAGCAAACGCAACCAUUACAAUUUACGAACGUGUGCCUACUGUAUGUGAAAAUAUGUCGAGUACUUGACACUUUUUAACUUGUGCAGUCACUCAUAGGCUGUACGGAUUCUUAAGUUGCAUUUUAACAUCAAUUGUAGUUGUCAGAUAGGCAAAAACACACACUUGUCUUAGUGUUCAAAAAGGCGCAUUUUAAUAUAUUUAGUUUUACACUUGUAAACCGUCUGAAUGAUUAAAUGUUACAUUGAUCAAAAUAAGCUGAUAACCAAUAUCUCCAGCAAUAAUCACAUCACGAUUGCUGAUUUGAAAACAACAGUAGCUGGUUAACACAUUAAAAAAAAAUAACGCCACAUUUGUAGGGGGCACACGUGACGUUGCCUCCAUAGUUGAACAACAAAAAAGAAUACUUCAUUGUGAAAUGGUAAUCUAGUGGUUUGUCCAAUGAAAGGAAGAAGACCUCACAGAGAAUGACAUUCGAGAUUGGUGCCAGACAUAUGUGGCACUGCUUGAGCAUUUUGGCACAAAGACAGAGGCAAGUAGAGACAAGUGACGAAAUGUGCGGUGGACAUGAGUGAUGUUGGACACCGCGUUCGCACGUCGCAAGUAUUGUUGCUUAUCUCGCCCAAAUACAGGGCGAAGCAUUUAUAUUACACGCUUUCUUCUCAGCACGUGGGGUGAAUAUUGUGAAAGCGAUAAGCUUCGUACAUUACAGAGGAGACAUUGGUAAACGCGUAUCGUUCAUGCAUUGGGUGGGGGACAAGUGGAGGCUUAGAAAUUAAUGAUGUCUCACUUUUCACUACUUGUUUUAUUGGGUUAUCUGCACAUGGACCACCCUGCAGACUCACUGAAGUUACUUACAGUGACCUGUAGGUGACGAGGCAUGUACAGGGUCCUCCACAUGUCUCGUAACCCCAAAAUUAAUUGACCCCGAACAUUUAUUUUCCUUUUUGCAUAUUCAUUAUUUGUUUUAAAUAAACCUUACUUUAAACAAAAAAAAUACGUUUUAGAGAAUUAAAUGGGAGUCACGAGACAUCCCGACCACCCUGAAGAAAGGAAAACAUUGACACAGGCACUGUAGCAGUGAAAUGAUGAAAGUGGCAUCCAGCGGUGUGGGGGUGGCACAGCACAGGAGUGAAAAGACACACACACAACGCACACGCCUAGUUGUGAGCUAAGGUUCAAGGGACUUAAGCAAAUAUGUGUUGUGACUGGAGCUCUCCUACAUACAAACUGAGAAAAAAAAUCAACAGCAAAUUCCAGUAGCGUUGGGCAGUGAAGAGAGUGGCGCACUGGGGGAUGGGUGAGAAUGAUUACUCAGUGGCUAGCAGCAAGGGCCAUUGCGCCCUGACAUUGCUCCAGAGAGAGUGUGUGUGUGUGACAAAGCCAGCAGGACAGCAGCUGCUCGGGGCAAGGAAGGAAAGGAUUGCCCAUUUAGGGCCAAAAAACGCUGGAGCAGUCUUGGACCCCCUCCUCAAUUUUGGAAAAGAUGACGACUCUGCCCAGCGAUGUGGAAAGGGGCGCAGAAGACGAUGGCUACGGGCUGCCACUCAACGGCUACGAGCGGAUGAUGGACGGGAGACUGAGGUGCAAAUUCUGCGACUACACGUGCAAGGACAUCAGGCGUCUGGAGGAGCACAUGAGGACACACACAGG